UCAAACACACAAAUAGGACACUUGCCUAUAUGAAUCAUGCCACCUUAACACUAAAAUAUUAAAUAAAAUUUUCUCUAGUCAGGAUUAAGAAGAACAAAAUAAAAUCAACCUAAAAGAAGUCUUCUUUAAUUGCACAAAUCAGUGGAUUCAAUACUACCCUUUAUCACAUGCUAGUUUUGGCAUUGACAAACUUACCUUAUUGACGAUAAACUAGGCAUAUUUAACGAUCAUCCAACAUUACUCAAAUUAAUAAUUUAAUUGCGUAGUUUAAAACAACCAAUUUCAGGAGCCAUUCAAGUUACCAAACCUAAACAUGAAUGAGAGAUGCAGAACUCAAACUACUGACUCGAUCAACAACAUUAUUCACUAAAUUUCCACCAUAAUAAUCCAAACACACAAGUACUUGAAAAAUGGUUUAACCAAAAUAGAAUCAAAAUCAGAAAUUAGAGUUCAAAUAUAGUCCGUAAAUACACUGCAUAAGCCCGACUAAAUAUAGUAGCGUUCAAGUGAUUAAACUGAUUAGAUAAGAAAACGUAUGAACAAUCUUUGAAGAACACGGAACAACGUUUGGCUAACAUUCAUCUACUAUCUAAAUCUAUUAUAGGACUUCCAUAUACACCUCAUAUGUUACUCAAGUGCUGAAGCAUACCUGGAUUGAAGAAACAGACAAGAAGAAAGAGAAAUUAGCGGCAAAUACAAUAGCACCGGCAACAACAGCUUGGAAUUCAAAGCACCCAAAACAGAUUUUGGACUGUUCCAGACUGAUCACAAAACUACUCUUAAACUUAUAGAGUGAUGUUGAAGAAAACUGAAUGCCUUUUCUCUCUAUUUCCUCAACCCUUAUUAAGAGGGACUAAUGAGAUAGUACAGUUUUCAAGACAACAAAACAGAACCCUCUUAACAAUACUCUCUUAAGACUUUUUCAAUUUGAUUUUCGGGACUAAAAACAAGAAUAUGAACUCUUUUUUACUUUCUGAAAAAUCUGAUACAAGACUCCUCUAUGGUUUUUCAAGCUCUCAGAAAACUCUCCAAAUCUUUCUAUAUGUUUUAUUCCAGUCUUUUUGUUCAUUAAAAUCUGAUCUCCUAAAAAUAGCCAAAUGGCUCUUAUUUAUUCAAAGAAGAUCCUCUUUUUUCUUCCACUUUAAUUAUUACUCUACAAACAUUUUAUUAUUACCUUACUUUAACAUCCAGCCACCAAAAGAUGCUCUUCUACGCCACUUUUAUCAUCACUUACACUAUUCUUAAUUUCAAUUAAGCAAAAUAGUCAACACUCAUCAUUUUCAAUGAUUCCUCCUACUAAUUAAUUCAAAUGAAAGCACAUUGGGGUCCUACAGGAUAAACUUAUUCAGUCAAACCAGAUUUUCCUAUUUUUCUAUUCCUAGAACACCCCUGGAAUCCUCUGUGCUUUACCCUAUAACCCCCUUACUGUCCUGUCUCACCCCUGUAGCCCAUCAACUGUGGACAAUUGAUCUAACACAAAAUAUAAUCACAGAUUAUCUAAAUCAACUCUUAAUUAAACAAUGAAACACUAUGAACUUUAUCCAAACCAAGAAUACAUCAGCUAUAACCAAUGUUCUUAAGGGGAAACUUAACAACUAAAUAAACUGAGGCUUAAAGGUGGUCUCAGAUUCAAUUUACAUCAGACCCUAAACCUGUUAUUUAUCUAAAACUAAAUUCUUAUUUACAGCUAUAACAAAUCCUGAAUAUCAAGUAAACAAAAUCAUAGAACUAAACACAAUUAAAAAUGACCUAUUUCAAUCAGCAUUCAAACAAUAGAAACAAUUAACUACGAAAAAACAAAGAUGAACUGAAGCUAUUUGACGAGAAUCGACGAAAAACUGAAUUAAUUGACGACAACUAAUUAAUCGAUUGCAUAUAACUAUUGAUUACGAACAGUCAGAAAUAGAUAAAUAGGUAAUCAGGGAUUCGAGUGGCAUUUGAUAGAAAUGGGGAUUAAAAGGAAAUCAAUUAAUCGACAAAUCCACUCACAUUGAUUAUAUAAUUUACAGCCUAUACUUAAUCAAUGAACAGAGGAAAGGAAAAUUGGCCAAAUAAAAGGCCUGAUUUGGAGAAGAACAGAAUAUAUAACAAAAAUCGGGAAAAAAAUCAAAAUAACAAAACUAAACAUAUAUUAAUAGUACCAAAAGAACAAAAGAAAAAAAUACCUUAAAAUAGACAGAAACUGGACGACCUCAAUUUUGAACUCAGACUCGAGCCUUUUUGGGGUAGAAAAUGGAUUUUAAUCGAGUGUUCUCGAUUGAGAACACUUGACUAAAGUCGAUUGACACCCCAAUUUAUUAAUUUUUGCACAGAACCAAAGUUUUGGUCUUCUAGGAUUCGACUGGUUACCAGGUGAUUCAGAGAGAACCAAUGGUGGUUUAGGGGUGAGGGUGGCCUAGGGUCCAUGGUGUGAAUUUGGGCUCGGUUGGGGUAGGGUUCAGUUUGGGCUCGAAUCUUCGAUCAAAGAUUCGAGAAGCUUGGCCAUGAUUCAAAUGAAAUGGAUUGUGGAUUUGGAGAGAGGGUGGCUUGGGGGUUCAGGGGUGUAAAUCUGGUGUUCAUCGGAGCUCAGGCCUUCCAUAUCUAUGGUGAAGGGGUAGGGUGGCGGCUCUAAACGAGAUAGACGAUGAACAGUGAGGAAGGGGGGUCUGAUUUGGGGAUGGGGUGAGAGAUUAU
rnacentral:lncRNA from 1 species